GUCUACAGUCAUGCCAUCCUGAACACGCCCAAUCCUGUCUGAUCUCGGAAGCUAAGCAGGGUCGGGCCUAGUUAAUACUUGGAUGGGAGACCACCCAGGAAGACCGGGUGCUGUAGGUG
rnacentral:rRNA from 1 species